AAACCAGGUUGAGGACAUUUCCGCAAGAGCUUCUUGAAUCUAUCCCAUGUCUAAAGUAGAGACUCCAAUUUCAUUCGCACAAAGAAGGUUAUCUCAUUCCUGCGCUU